AGAUUGAACGCUGGCGGCAUGCUUUACACAUGCAAGUCGAACGGCAGCACGGGAGCAACCCUGAUGGCGAGUGGCGAACGGGUGAGUAAUGCAUCGGAACGUAUCUUCAAGUAAGGGAUAACGCAUCGAAAGAUGCGCUAAUACCGCAUAAUCUCUGAGGAAGAAAAGCAAGAGAUCGACAAGACCUUGCGUCUUUUGGAGCGGCCGAUGUCGUGAGUUAGCUUAGGUUGGUGGAAGGUAAAGGCUUAACCGAAGGCUUCGAUACUAAUAGCUGUCUGAGAGGACGACA
rnacentral:rRNA from 1 species